GAUGAACGCUGACAGAAUGCUUAACACAUGCAAGUCUACUUGAACUUCGGUUUGGGUGGCGGACGGGUGAGUAACGCGUAAAGAACUUGCCUCACAGAUAGGGACAACAUUUGGAAACGAAUGCUAAUAUCUGAUAUUAUGAUAUUAGGGCAUCCUAGAAUUAUGAAAGCUAUAUGCACUGUGAGAGAGCUUUGCGUCCCAUUAGCUAGUUGGAGAGGUAACGGCUCACCAAGGCGAUGAUGGGUAGCCGGCCUGAGAGGAUGAUCGGCCACAAGGGGACGGAGACACGGCCCUUACUCCUUCGGGAGGCAGCAGUGGGGAAGAUAGGACAAGGGACCAAGAGUCUGAUCCAGCAAUUCUGUGUGCACGAUGAAGUUUUUCGGAAUGUAAAGUGCUUUCAGUUUGGAAGAAAAAAAUGACGGUACCAACAGAAGAAGUGACGGCUAAAUACGUG
rnacentral:rRNA from 1 species